rnacentral:rRNA from 1 species
UACGAAGGGGGCUAGCGUUGUUCGGAAUUACUGGGCGUAAAGCGCGCGCAGGCGGUCCUUCAAGUCAGAGGUGAAAGCCCAGAGCUCAACUCUGGAAUGGCCUUUGAGACUAGAGGACUGGGUACGGGGAGAGGUGAGUGGAAUUCCGAGUGUAGAGGUGAAAUUCGUAGAUAUUCGGAAGAACACCAGUGGCGAAGGCGCUCACUGGCCCGUUACCGCGCUCAGG